UUACAUAAUACCGGAAAUAGAUGGAUUACCAAAAUAAAUUAAAAUAAGUAUACGAACCCGAGUCGCGUAAAAUUGCAUCGGCUUUGUCCAUUGACCCAGGAUCAUUGAUUAGGUUUUAUCCAUCAUUUACCGGAAGUGUCAUUUCUUUAAAUUUUGUAUUGAAAUUCAGAUUGAUAAAUACUUUUAAAUAAUAAGCCGGGCAAGCAAGACAAAAAGAGUGAUGAGUCGAGUAGAAAACAUAAAACGCAAAUGGAGGACACAGAGUAUUUAAAAAAAAACGGAAGCGAGAAUUUCAGACAUUGUGGAUAUCAGAUUGCCCCUGGCUAUCUAGAAUGGAAAUUCGCAAAAUAAAUUAAGUUUUUGUCUUAUUUAUUG
rnacentral:lncRNA from 1 species